rnacentral:snRNA from 1 species
ACUUCUUCUCAGCCUUUUGGCUAAGAUCAAGUAUAGUAUCUGUUCUUAUCAGUUUAAUAUUUGACAUGUUGCCUAUCCAAGGACAAUAUAUUAAGUGGAUUUUUGGAGCAGGAGUUGGAAUGGGAGCUUGUCCUGUCCACUCCAAACAUUGACCUGCUAUUGUAGUACCUCCAGGAAUCGUGCACCCCUC